UUUCAUCAUCAUCCAAUGGCUUUAAACUAACCACCCCCUCCCAUCAAAGUGCUCGAACAGACCCCCUAAGCCCUAGAGACAUACCAUUCCCCUAUCUUCAUAAUCUCUCUCAAACCCCAAAAACCCCAAGUCCCCUGCCAACGGCCACGCUCCCAAAUCACCCCAAAUCGUCACCGUAUAAUCCCCUUUUCCUUCUCAUCCAUAAUCCCCACAACAUUUCCUUCAAAAAUCCUUAUAACUUUGUGGAUUUUAGACCUAAGAAGUCACAAAAAACCUAAAUCCACCCCCAUUCCAUGUUUUCCCAAAUUUCGGCCUACCCGAGGUUCAUAAUAAUGCUAAUUGAACAAUCUCAUUGGGACUUAUCAAUUAGAGUCAGUCUGGACAUAUUCUAGACCACCCGAACCCGGCCACCACUAUGGAAGCCUCAUAACAUUGCCUUUUUUUGCCGGUAUAUGGAGUACAUAGUCAUGUAAAGCAUUGACUAUGCCUUGAAUGUGGGAUAAUGCUCAUGUAGCGAUGUCGGCUGUUAGCCGGUUAUACGAUUUUUUCGGGCAGUCCUGCUUUCCAUUGGUAAUCUUCUUUUCAUUUCUUUACUUAACUUCCCGAUUGACUAAUUGAUUGACGUUUUGUGUUUUGACUAAUUGAAUUACAUAGAUUAUUUUUAGUUAACAACAUUUUUUUAGUUUAGGUUUAAAUUAUACCUAGUCGGCUUUGCUAAAUAAUCAGUUGAUAGUUGUCUGUUAAUGUUGCGUAAAUAGUUGAUUGUUAGUGUGUUUCUCCAUAUGUUUAGCACAUUUUAGAUUUAUUAGGAUUUAAAACUCAUUAAUCGCGUGGUAGGUUAUUAGUUCAGAUACUUAAUAAUAAUUUUAAUUGCAAGUUUGCAGGCCAAUUGAUCUUGAUUCGUUAAGUAUAGAUAUUAAUUAGGUGAAUCACCUAGAAAUGGGUUGGAUUUCGACUCCUCUUUGUUGUUGUGAUUGUCAAUCCUUUUUAAAUUCUUGUAUUAGUUGAUUGUGAUUACUAAAAGUGUAAGGAGGUUAAACAAAAUAGGAAACUUGGAAGAAUCUGUCUCUAAUUAAUUUAGAUGCUCCUAGAAGAUAGAAAGGGAAUGAUUUGUAAAAAAAAAGGAAGAACAUGGCAGGUUUUAGGACUUAAGAGGUAAAAACAAAAGUUAAGGGGGCUACAAAAUAAUAAAAGGAUAGCUAAAGUACAGAUGUACAAAAAUCUAUUGAAAAGAUACCCUUUUCCUUAUUUUUAGGGAAUGAACAUUCCUCAGAUUAUUCCCUCAUCAUUGGCAUAUAAUAGAUCUUAUUUUCUAUAUAUAGACCCCUGCAUUUUCACUCUCUCAAACACACAUACACACAUUAAUUCUCCAUAGAAACUUGACACACAUUCCCCAUUUCUCACUGAUUUCUCUCAAAGAAAACACUCUAUAAAUUCCACUUUUAUACAAAAAAAAAAAACAAAAAAAAUGGGGAGGAACACAAAAGUUGUUUUAAGAUUCUAGCAUACUUGGUUGAUAUUUUCUGGAAUUUUAAAGGAUUUUAAAGCUUUAUAACUGCUGUUUGCUGUCAUGCAAGUUGAAUUUCAUCAUCUUUCUACUCAAAACCUUUAUUUGGUUUUUCACUUUGGUUUUCGGUUCCCUGUACUGUGCAAAUGAAGUUUGGCUUUGUUUGAUUUCAUAAUUGUAUUUAAUUCUUGGAUGUUUAUGCUUGUUUUUCAAAUAAGCUUAUAUUUUACUGUAUUUGGCAUCAGUUCAUGUUUAUUCAAGCGAUGGUUUGGACUAUAAAUACUUCUAGGCUAGCUUCGCUAUUACUGAUAUUCCCUAGUUCUAAUAGAGCAUGCUGGCUAUCUGGCACCCCAUAUAUUACUAUUGUUCUAUCUUUGCCACGGAUAAUUGAAAAACAUGUUGUACAUACAUGGAAAGCCUAUGAGAGGUUGGAUGUGAGUUGCUGUGAUAUGUGAUGAAGAACUGGUAGAAAACAAUGGAGAUCUGAUAGCAGAUUACAUAUUUUAGUUUUAAUUCAUUUUUUCAGACUUGUGAUUUUCAUGUUGUUAAGAUUAUUAUUGUGUUGUUGAGAACAACUCGUUUAAUGUAGUUAAUUUGAAUUUAUGCUUAAACUUUGAUACUUAGGAUUUAAUGUUGGGAUUCAUCCUAUUAUCUACAUUCAUUUGUUCUUAUACAUGUUUCAUCCAUGAUUUGAAUGUCUGUACCUGUUCAGCUAUGAAUUAAAUCAUGUUUGGAUGGUCCUUUGAGUUCACUAAGUCUUCACUCUUUUGAACUUUAGGCUCGACCUUGACCACUAUAGGCCCAAGAAAGGUCAGCUUGAAUGAUCUUUUGGGCCUACGAGGAUGACGACCCAACACCCCAAGGUCCAAGGGACCUCCUCGCUUAAAUAAGGGAUCUGACUUUCUAAAGGUCAUGUUUUGGGCUUUAGUUUGAGCUCAUUGCCUUCACAUGUGAUCCAUUGGAGUUCUGAUUUGGUCAUUUAGUUAAUAUUUUCAUGACCCAAACCGAUGGGCCUCAACGGGCACCUGGUACCUUACUCAACCGUGUACCAAUGUAACGUAUCACAUCUUACUCCUAAUGCUUCAUUAUCUCUCUUCUCAUUUCCCUGCUAAUAUUUCUAACUAUCCCUUUCUUAUGAAUACUUCAACAAGACAUCUUUUGCUUUUAGCUCCCUUGUUUCAUUGAUCACUUCCAUGAUUUCAGUUCACCAUAUGAGUGGAUAGAUAUUCUUUUUAUAAGUUUCCUUAUUAAGAAGCUUACACGUCUUAGUACCCACGUGUUCUACCUUUUAUCUUUGGCAUCUUUUCACAUGAUUGAUGACCCUUACACACCUUACGACAAUCCUUAUGUACCAAGGAUAAUAAAAUUCAUUACUCGCAAGGGUGAUACUUAGUGUAACUGGAACAUUAGUCCUUUAAGCCUAACUUGCUUACCUUGCUUACUUUAGGGAAGCGUCUUCCUGAAUGACCAUUCUAUGAGUUUCUUAUGAUGCCGACUAUUAUCAAAUCACUCAGUCCCUAAUUCAUGUUUAGUUUAUCUUGUUCACCAGCCCAUAGCUAUUACUAUUGCUCUAGGAUCUAACUUUUCCUUCUAGUUGUCACGAACUUAUUUCUCGAAAUAAGGAUACGACUUUAUGGCCUUUAAUCUUUUGUUGUCUUAAGGCCUAUCACCUCUCGUCUCAUCCUUCACCUGACUAUGGAACCUGUAGUACUAUCCUUUUUUUGGUCUGUUUGUCAUCCAUGUAUCACAAUUAGCCAACAAAGUACAUGUGUUCUUGGUUCAUAAAAAACACCCUUAGUCUACUAUCAAGGAAGCAUUCCAUCUCUUCUAAAUGCUACUAGUUUUAGACUCCUUUGAGUUCAUUCAGGCUGUACUGAGCUUUCUAAAACUUAGAGAAACCAUUAGCUCUCUUGUUCUUAUUGGCUUUAUCCCGAGGACUUAUCCAUUCUCGUCACCUUCUUACACACCUUUUCUCAUCCUUACUCAUGUCUUCCUAAAAUCUUAUCACUCUACCAUUCUUUAGCUUGCGACCUAAAUAUAUCCAUUUAUACUAAUCACAACCUUUCUUCAACUUGCUUGCACCAUAGAUUUUCUUAUGUCAUUCUGGGACAUCAAGUGAGACAUCACAUCAUCUCUAAUUCUUCGUUACUCUCUUAAUCAGGCUUCUCAAUACUAGAAACCAUAGACUGGAAGACAUGCCGAUGAUGAUGCCGCUAUCAGUCCUGAUACUGAAGCCUAAAGCUUUUAUCCUUCUAUCUGAAGUAUGGACUAUCCACAACAUUUUACAUUUGAGUAUCGCAUACGUUGUUUACCUUUACCUUACUUACCUAAACAUCUCGUAUCACAUCCUCUAUCUAUUUCAUGACCUCCUUCCCACAUGGUUAUAAUUCAUAUUCACAAAGUGACCAUACGAAAUUUGCUCCAAAAAUUCAUACAAGAUUUCAUAAGGUAAUAACAACGAGAUUUUGCAAUUCUAAGGGAGUAUGAUGCAGUCUUUCUCAUUGUCUCGUUGUUAUGUAUUUCAUCGCAUUUGGUGUAUGUUAGAAGGAUUGUCAAGAGAAUCGUCUCAGGUAUGAUAAGACUAUCCCUUCUUUCUUUUUCACGAUCCAUACGAUACAAAUGAAACAAGCAAAUUCACAACCUCCAUAAAUAACUCUAUUCAUAGAAUCACUAGAGGUUCCUAUGUUCUUGAUUCCCCAUAUAUCUUAUUAUUGUAUCAUUUGUUCAUAGGUCUCAGAAAAUACGUAAGUUGAUAAAGUUUACUUCAUGAUAUUAUUCGGAGGCAUAAUGGUCUUUUGACGUUUCGAGAGAUUUUAUUGACGUACUUUUUAUGCAUUGCAUUCAUUUAUACAUAUACACUUACCAUGACCAGAUGACGUUAUAUACGUGUAUAUAUGUAUAUUAUAUGUAUAUAGGAUAUGGAAAAAGGUUACUGCGAUAUAUACGCACUACCACCUGAUCAGUUGGUAUACGUUGAUGAUUUUUGCCACAGUAGCUAAGAUGAUAUGAUGGAUGCCAUCAGAGGCUUGAUGAUGUUAUGUGAAUAUAUCUAUGCAUGGUAUGACAUUUAUACACAUAUGCAUGACAUUUUAAUACUAAUUGAUUCACAAAGCUAUUCAUACUUACACGUCAAGUCUCUCACUUCAUGUUUCUCUCAUGUCUAUGGUUUACUGAUUUUCCUUCCUUACAUACUCGGUACAUUAUUUUUAGUGACUCCCUUUACCUGGGGACGAUGCAUUUCAUGUCCGCAGGUUCGAAUAGAUAAGAUGAGAGUCCUCCAAGUAGGCUAUCUGCUCUGCAGAAACUGUUGGUGCGCUCCAUUUUCUGUGGAGCUUAUUUGGUC
rnacentral:lncRNA from 1 species